GUGACUCUAGACUAGAGCAACUAGUUUGGAGGAGCAAGAGAAGUGGUAAAUAACAUUUUGGGGGGAGCAAGGAUUUUACAGAGAUAACUAUGGGUGGUUACAUGGCUCAAAUGGAUUUUACGGCAUUACAGAACCACUAACCUCUCAAGCUGAUGUAUCAAAGCCUGAUCAGAACUGUCCUGAAACCAUGGACCAUUUAAUACAUGUAAAAAGACUGACUUCCUCAUUAUAGUUACGGUGGAUCUGCCUUGGAACAUUAACCACUUCCUAUUUGAUGAUUUAGCACUACAGAGAACUUCCCAUAGGCAUAAUGUGACAUGAGGCAAUCAUAUGUUGACACUGCAGAUGUGCAAGUAUGUCAUUCAAGCAGACAAGAGAUUGUGUGUGCUGGAGAAAAUCUGUGAGGAGUUGCAUCGCGGGAAUCAGGGGUGGCAAGUCACCUGAUUCCUAAGGAGGAAUCCUUAACAUCCUUGUUUGUGAUAUCUCCAGGGAUAAUCAGUGUAAACACUACAUGAACAUAUAUGUCAAAUUGCCUAGAGAAAAGUUCCUGCCAAGUGAAGCUUAUGUGCCAUUGUGGAUGUUUUGCUGUCCUUUGCCUGUGCUGCAAUUGGGCAGGCUAGCCUACGGCUGUGUCAGCCAAACAACAUUGCAAAAAGCUCUAUGCAACCAAACUUGCAUUAAGAACUACAUGGUGAAAAUGUGUCUGACUCUAAGCAGAGAGAAAAUAUAUAGGCCAAAGAAGUUGCCCCGCAAUGUGGUGGCAAUAUAGCGCCUCAGCAUUUCACUUGCUCUGGUCUGGCCUACUGAACAAAAGCUAAAGGGCACAACAUCUUUUCCAGUAAUUACUGGAUACUGAAGAUAACAUUGGCUUGACUGGUGACUGAGAAUCUGAAUUAGUAAGUCUUCUACACAGCCAUUAAAUUUUGUGGCAAAGCUCUAAUCCUGGAAUACAUACUCAACCUUGGGUCCAAGAGGAGUCAUUGUAAGCAGUUUCAAGACAGCCUUAAUACCUUGUUACAUGACUAGGCCUAUGUCUACCAAGAUAGACAAGGUGGGAACAAACAGUCCAUGGGUGUGUAUCUGUGUGGCCUAACCCGCUCCCUCCACCCCAGGAGGCAGACCAAGAGCUUGCUGAAAGAUUUUGUGGGAAAGAUUUUGUGGGGCAAACUGUCUUCCUUAGCCCAGAGCAGGAGUGUGUGGGCAGGAAUGCUGGGAGAAUGAAGGAGGUGCCCUGCCUAGCUGGGGCUGCAAAGGAUCCUGCUGUGGCACUGGUCUUUCUUCCCCAUGUUCUGCUAUUAGCAGUUGGCUGGAAUUGCCACGAGUCUGCUUGUGCUCUGGUGCUGGUACUCCCUUUUGGUGCAAGGAAGGAGCAAAAGUCAUCCUUCUUUUAAACUGCAUGGUGAUCUAAAGUUGCAUGAGUUCCCUUCAACAAGCUUUGCUUGUUAUGGAGGUGAACUGACCUGAGGAAAGGUGGAGCGAGAAAGGGCCAGUUGGCUCAGUGACAGAUGCAGUGGCUGGAACCGAAAGCUUCAAAGCCCUCUGUCCAAGCCACUGUCAUGGAAGAGGAACCAUCUGGAGAAUCAGACCAUCUCCCUGUCUGCAUCGCUAAGCCCCUCCAUCUGCUCUGUCCUGUUCAGUUCCUUGGUCACACAAAUCUAUCUAUCUAUCUAUCUAUCUAUCUAUCUAUCUAUCUAUCUAUCUAUCUAAUCUACCUACCUCCCUACCUUGAUAGAUAUGCCUACCUAUAUAGAUGUGCAUAAUUUUAAAGCCAGUACAUCCUCUACGCUUUAAGGUACUCUUUCAAAGAGGAUGGAAAUCAAGGUAUGCGAUUCUCCAUGGCUUCAGACCUUGCAUCCUCUGUAUAGCCAAAGUAAGCUUGAUAUGGGAUCAGACUUCUCUGUCCACACACGACUGAAUUUUUAAACAUAUCUGGUGAAAGACAUUCUGAAAGAAGGCAUGAAGCCCGUGUUCUUUGAACCGAGACCUCAUUGGUAGAGCACAUCUAGGUUGUAAUUUUGCUGCUGUUUCCAUCUGAUUGCUCUGCACAGCCCUCACAAGGGCUGUGCCAAUCUCCAUGCUAGCUGCACUUCAGUCAGCAGGGUAAGAAGAAAAUGGAAGAACCUUGCUGUGUCAAACCAAAGAUCCAUCUAGUCUAGCAUUCUGUUUCCAACAGUAAAUGGACAGAUGACUUCAGGAUGCCUACCAGCAGAGCCUGAAGGUAACAGUCCGCUCUCACUGUCUGUCCUCCAGCAACCAGCAUUCAGAAGAAUACAGGCUGACAUAGUGCACAGCAUUCUGCACACAUUUUAAUGCAAUUGUAUACAGUUGUGCAAAUGCCAGGAAUUGCACCAACACAACUGUGUGAUGGUAGGCCAUAUUAAAUAAAGGCCUACCACUGUGCAACUUCAUUUGCACAGUUCCCUGCAUUUGUGGAAUGGUGUACAUGCAGAGUUAAAACGUGUGUGAAAUGCUGCACAGUAUGCCAGCCACUGCCUUUGAACCCGAAGGUUUUGUUUAAGCUAGUAUGGCUAAUCGUUGGCGGCUAACCUCCUAUAAGAACCAGUGCAAGUAUCAUGUCAACUGUAGCGCAAGGACAGCAAUGGGAGCACAAACCCUUCGUGCUAGUUAGUAUUUUGGUUGCGAGAAUCCCUCCCCCCCUGCACUUGCCUUACCCGUGUAGCACCACCAUUGCUGGAGAAAGCUGCCCUCAACCUCAAGCAGCAUUGCUACUCCCCUAAAGCAUGACUAAUUAUAGGCUUUCUGGAACAGUUCUGCAACCAUGGCAGACUGACAACACAUCUGAUACUCUGUUAUAUGAAAAAUGUGUUGCUAGCUGGGAUCUGAUCUAUCUCCUCCUUCAUUUCCUCCAAGCCACUUCAUUGACCUCAGUAAGCCCUAGCUACAGAAGGCUUCCGUGCAAAGCAAUUUCUCAACUGCCUUCAGUGUGACCUGGUGGCUGGCUGGCAGUACAAAAUCCCCCUUUGCCUAAAGAAGCCUAGAAAACGAUGAGUGCUGGGGGAGAGCUGUGUGUACAGCCGGAAGUUUAAGUUCCUACUGCAGUCACUUGCAUGGCUGAGCAAGCAAGUGGAAUUUAAGAGCUGCAAUAGACAUUUCAAAGACCCCUCCAGCACCAUAAUCACAGACUGUCAACAUAAGGGAAAUUCUGCAAAUGACAUGGAAGAUGAAAGGGUGGCACAUCAUCUGCCCACUGCAGUUUAAGCAGUUCUUGUAUAUAAAACUGAAAAUCAUGCAUAUCUUUUAGUUUUGCUGCGGUAUUAUAUCUGAUCGCGAAACAGCUGGUACCACACCAAGCAGCAGUCCUUAAGCAUCAUAAUAAACUACUGUAUAUUCACACUGGCUGACAUAAUGCACAACAUUAUGCACAUGGUGGAAACAUAAUAUUUACGCAGAUAUGCAAGAUAUGCAUAGUUGCACUUGCACAACAGCACCAAUGUUAAGUCCCACCGCAUGCAUGGUUUUUCGUUUAUAAUGGUUUAAAGUUUUAUUGAUGGUUAUUUUAAAUUGUUUAUAUGAUUUAGGGUUUUGUGUUUUAAUAAUUUGUAAACUGCCAAGAUAUUUUAUAUGGGGCGGUAUAUAAAUGUGAUAAAUAAAAAUAAUAAUAAUGAUAAUGCAUAGCAUUGUGCAGUAUGUCAGUCACUAUGUUAAAAUGUUCUCCUAAAAAGCCACUAAAGGAAGGAAACAUGGUGUCAGAGAAAAGACUCUGCCACACUGUUUUUUCUCAGUGCUUUGAUUAAUUUAGGUGAGGUCUGGUGCCUGUUGAUUUUGUUUCCUACACUUAAUCAUAGAUCCUCUGCCUUUUAGCUGUAUACUGCAAUUGUUUCGUACAAUCUAGGUGUUGGCGUUUCAGAGAAUUUUGCAAUCUCAUUGUGUCAGUUCCAGAUUAAUGUUUUUGAUCUGAACAUAAGAAAAUGCAGGAAGCAGAAUAUUUGCCAGUGUUGGGACCUGAAAAUGACACGCUUUCCCCUGCAGCUACAAGGAUAGUGUUCUGAGCACAAAAGAUCACACACCCACUCACCUUCCUUUUGCAGAUGUUCCAUUUGAAGACAAGCAACUGUAUCGGAGCUGAAGCCAUGGUUUGGCAGAUUCACUGCCACUAUUGUGACUUGCACAAUUGAAAAGCUCACAUGAGCAAGGGAAAAACAUUGAUAACCU